GCGAGGGGGUCGGGGGCUCUCGGGGCACUCCCGAGGAAGUUCCGCCCACCGCACCGGGGCCGCGGUGCCGCAAGGCACCUCCCGAGAGGGAGGGCAACGGCGCAGAAACGACACGGCCCCCGGGGGAUGUGGAUGACGCGUGCGAAGGGCCCGGCGACGGGCACCGAGCUAACCCGCAGACGAUCCCGGGGGAUGCGGUGAAACGGCCGUCCCGCGGGGUGCAAGGCCGUAGCUGGGGCGAUGAGUUCCCGGUGUGAGCCCCGUGGUAGGCCGCUCAGUCGAAUGCCCCCUUGAUACAGAAGGCGGGCUACGACCCCCUCGC
rnacentral:RNase_P_RNA from 2 species